CAGGAUGCCAAGUUAAAUUUAAAUUUCAGAUAAAUAAUGAAUACUUGUUUAGUAUAAGUAUGUUCCAUGCAGUAUUUUGGACAUACUUAUACUAAAAAUGUCUCGCUGACUAUCUGAAAUUCAAAGUGAACUGGGCGUCAUUUA
rnacentral:miRNA from 10 species